rnacentral:rRNA from 1 species
GAUGAACGCUAGCGGGAGGCCUAACACAUGCAAGCCGAGCGGUAUUGUUUCUUCGGAAAUGAGAGAGCGGCGUACGGGUGCGUAACACGUGUGCAACCUGCCUUUAUCUGGGGAUAGCCUUUCGAAAGGAAGAUUAAUACUCCAUAAUAUAUUGAACGGCAUCGUUUAAUAUUGAAAGCUCCGGCGGAUAGAGAUGGGCACGCGCAAGAUUAGCUAGUUGGUGAGGUAACGGCUCACCAAGGCGAUGAUCUUUAGGGGGCCUGAGAGGGUGAUCCCCCACACUGGUACUGAGACACGGACCAGACUCCUACGGGAGGCAGCAGUGAGGAAUAUUGGUCAAUGGGUGCAAGCCUGAACCAGCCAUCCCGCGUGAAGGACGACUGCCCUAUGGGUUGUAAACUUCUUUUGUAUAGGGAUAAACCUACCCUCGAGAGGGUAGCUGAAGGUACUAUACGAAUAAGCACCGGCUAACUCCGUG